GUCUUGAAUUACUGAACAAUCUUCUCCGUAACAAUGCAUCCGACCAGAUUUUACUGAAGGAAACUGUGGGAUUCGAAGCGUUAAUUUCAAUUAUGAAGCUUCAAAAAGGUAGUGCCUACAGUUUCACCCAGCAAAAGAUGAAAACGGCUGCAGAUGUCUGUGUGCUUUAUGAUAUGAACAG